rnacentral:sRNA from 1 species
GAACAUUUGAUGAAGCAAACUUGUUGACUGUAACUGUCAGUGCCAUCAACACGCUUUGGGAUAUU